CGUAGUCCGGAUCGGAGUCUGCAACUCGACUCCGUGAAGUCGGAAUCGCUAGUAAUCGCGAAUCAGAAUGUCGCGGUGAAUACGUUCCCGGGCCUUGUACACACCGCCCGUCACACCAUGGGAGUGGGUUGCACCAGAAGUAGAUAGCUUAACCUUCGGGAGGGCGUUUACCACGGUGUGAUUCAUGACUGGGGUGAAGUCGUAACAAGGUAACCCUAGGGGAACCUGGGGUUGGAUCACCUCCUUACCUUAA
rnacentral:rRNA from 1 species